rfam:Myotis davidii contig101814, whole genome shotgun sequence.
GGCUGUUCUUGAGUGAUGCACCCCAGAAUUAGACUCCCUCCUCUCUGGUUCCGGGGUGUGUCACCCGAGAACCGCC